AAUAUUGCACAAUGGAGGGAACUCUGACGCAGCGACGCCGCGUGAGCGAUGAAGGUCUUCGGAUCGUAAAGCUUUGUCCUUGGGGAAGAAGGUCUUCGGACUUGACGGUACCUAAGGAGGAAGCCCCGUCUAACUACGUGCCAGCAGCCGCGGUAAUACGUAGGGUGCAAUCGUUGUCCGGAAUUAUUGGGCGUAAAGGGUGCGUAGGCGGCCUUUUAAGUCAGAUGUGAAAGCCCACGGCUUAACCGUGGGACUGCAUUUGAAACUGGAGGGCUUGAGUAUCGGAGAGGGUAGUGGAAUUCCCAGUGUAGCGGUGGAAUGCGUAGAUAUCGGGAGGAACACCAGUGGCGAAGGCGGCUUCCUGGACUGUAACUGACGCUGAGGCACGAAAGCUGGGGUAGCAAAC
rnacentral:rRNA from 1 species